UACGUAGGUGGCAAGCGUUGUCCGGAUUUACUGGGUGUAAAGGGCGUGUAGCAGGGCUGACAAGUCAGAUGUGAAAUUCCGGGGCUCAACCCCGGACCUGCAUUUGAAACUGUUGGUCUUGAGUAUCGGAGAGGCAGGCGGAAUUCCUAGUGUAGCGGUGAAAUGCGUAGAUAUUAGGAGGAACACCAGUGGCGAAGGCGGCCUGCUGGACGACAACUGACGGUGAGGCGCGAAAGCGUGGGGAGCAAACAGG
rnacentral:rRNA from 1 species